AUAGGUAGGACGUGUCGGCUG
rnacentral:snRNA from 1 species